GAUUAAGUUAAGCUACACUAAAUUGUACUAUGUAAACCAUUAUGCUGGGGCGUGAAAUCCUAUGCUUGGAAUACCAGGAUAAAGUUUUCAUGCUCGCUAAACACAUUACUCCUAGAGUUCAUAAUCAUGUCGUCCUAUGCUGUUUCUUAAUUGUGUGUUACUGUCGCUAUAUAUUCUUGACGUGCGCCUUUCACGCUCUUUAUACUCUUCUUCUAAAAUGUACUUCCAAGCACUUGGUAAUUCUUUGGCCAUUCUACUGUUGACAAGACAGUGGUCAUGCUUUCUCAUGGUUAUUUCUAUAGUAUCCUG
rnacentral:lncRNA from 1 species